rnacentral:rRNA from 1 species
GUGGGGAAUAUUGGGCAAUGGGGGCAACCCUGACCCAGCGACGCCGCGUGAGGGAAGAAGGCCUUAGGGUCGUAAACCUCUGUUGUGUGGGAAGAAGGAAGUGACGGUACCACACGAGGAAGUCCCGGCUAACUACGUGCCAGCAGCCGCGGUAAUACGUAGGGGACGAGCGUUGUCCGGAAUUACUGGGCGUAAAGGGCGCGUAGGCGGUCAUUUAAGUCAGCUGUGAAAUGGUCCGGCUCAACCGGAUCAUGCGGUUGAAACUGGAGGACUGGAGUGCUGGAGAGGCAAGUGGAAUUCCCAGUGUAGCGGUGAAAUGCGUAGAUAUUGGGAAGAACACCGGUGGCGAAGGCGACUUGCUGGCCAGCAACUGACGCUGAGGCGCGAAAGCCAGGGGAGCAAACGGGAUUAGAAACCCCGGUAGUCC